UGGUCAUAUUUCCAAAAAUACCCUUAGAUAUUACAAAUUUACUAGUUUCGGAAACCGUUUUCAAAAUUUCUAUGCACUUAGACCACCUCCAUCGGAGGUUUUAGGAAAGGGUUCUAAAAAAAAAGAUAAAAAAAUAAAUCAAAAAUAAGCUAAAAACAUAGAACCGGUGCUUAAUAUGACUUUUUAGAAUUGGUGAGAAUCCCUACAUGUCACUUUAGUAUUGGGUAAUAAAUUUUCCAAUGUAUCUCUUUGGGAAUCUCUUUGUUGAUGUUUUUUACGAAGUCAAUUAGCAGUUGAUUUUUCCGAAGGAAGAAGCUCGAGAGAUGGAGGCUGCCGUUCUAUUGAAGCCGGAGCAUAGGCUCAAGUAUCUUUUUCUCCUCAGCUUCUGCCAUGUCCGGAGAAGAAGAAGAGAACGCUGCCGAACUCAAGAUUGGAGAUGAGUUUUUGAAGGCAAAGUGCUUAAUGAACUGUGAAGUGUCUUUGAUCCUUGAGCACAAGUAUGAACAGCUUCAGCAAGUCUCCGAGGAUCCUAUGAAUCAAGUUUCUCAACUAAAGAAUUGAAGAAUGUACGGAGAUUUUUGAUAUAUGUCUACACUGAUGCAUAUUACUUUUAGAUGCACGCUAUUUUAGUGAUUGAGAAGUCUUUGCAGUAUGUGAAGCGAUUUAGUCGGUACAAGAAUCCAGAUGCUGUUCGACAAGUUCGAGAGUAUCAUCUUUCUGUAUGAUUAGUUUAUUCAGUAGACCUAGUAUUACAAGAAUGCAUUGAUUAUGCGUUUAUUAGCACUUAACCCAUGAAUGAGAGAGUUUAAUGUCAUUGGUUCAAUUCUUUAGUUUUGUGAGAGUAUAUAUGCCGUAUGAUUUUGACUGCACCAUGUGUGUUUACCUUAAUUCAAGUUUCACAGAAUCUUGAGCAGGCAUCAGUUCACUGAGUUUGAGCUUUGCGUUCUUGGCAAUCUCUGUCUUGAAACUGCUAAAGAAGCAGUGGCAAUGGUUCCUUCUCUCAAAACAAAAGGAAGUGCUCAUAGUAAUAAAGCGACCGAGAAUAUACUUAAUGAUCUCUCCCUUGUCAAGAGAUUCGAGUAGUUGCGGAAAGUUCUCAAGAUCUAAGAUUAUAAACAUAUUUCAGGGGACUACAUUCUCUUUC